rnacentral:rRNA from 1 species
AACGAACGCUGGCGGCAGGCUUAACACAUGCAAGUCGAACGCCCCUUCGGGGGAGUGGCAGACGGGUGAGUAACGCGUGGGAACGUGCCCUUCAGUUCGGAAUAACCCAGGGAAACUUGGGCUAAUACCGGAUACGUGCGAGAGCAGAAAGAUUUAUCGCUGAAGGAUCGGCCCGCGUCUGAUUAGCUAGUUGGUGAGGUAAUGGCUCACCGAGGCGACGAUCAGUAGCUGGUCUGAGAGGAUGAUCAGCCACACUGGGACUGAGACACGGCCCAGACUCCUACGGGAGGCAGCAGUGGGGAAUAUUGGACAAUGGGCGCAAGCCUGAUCCAGCCAUGCCGCGUGAGUGAUGACGGCCUUAGGGUUGUAAAGCUCUUUCGGCGGGGACGAUAAUGACGGUACCCGCAGAAGAAGCCCCGGCUAACUUCGUGCCAGCCGCCGCCGUAACAC